rnacentral:rRNA from 1 species
ACAUGCAAGUCGAGCGGAACGAGUUAUCUGAACCUUCGGGGGACGAUAACGGCGUCGAGCGGCGGACGGGUGAGUAAUGCCUAGGAAAUUGCCCUGAUGUGGGGGAUAACCAUUGGAAACAAUGGCUAAUACCGCAUGAUGCCUACGGGCCAAAGAGGGGGACCUUCGGGCCUCUCCCGUCAGGAUAUGCCUAGGUGGGAUUAGCUAGUUGGUGAGGUAAGGGCUCACCAAGGCGACGAUCCCUAGCUGGUCUGAGAGGAUGAUCAGCCACACUGGAACUGAGACACGGUCCAGACUCCUACGGGAGGCAGCAGUGGGGAAUAUUGCACAAUGGGCGCAAGCCUGAUGCAGCCAUGCCGCGUGUGUGAAGAAGGCCUUCGGGUUGUAAAGCACUUUCAGUCGUGAGGAAGGUAGUGUAGUUAAUAGCUGUAUUAUUUGACGUUAGCGACAGAAGAAGCCCCGGCUAACUCCGUGCCCGCAGCCGCGGUAAUACGGAGGGUGCGAGCGUUAAUCGGAAUUUCUGGGCGUAAAGCGCAUGCGGGUGGUUUGUUAAGUCAUAUGUGAAAGCCCGGGGCUCCCCUCGGAAUAGUUUUUGAAACUGGAGUACUAUAGUACUGUAGAGGGGGGUAGAAUUUCAGGAGUAGCGGAGAAAUGCGUAGAGAUCUGAAAGAAUACCGGCGGCCAAGGCGGCCCCCUGGACAGAUACUGACACUCAGAUGCGAAAGCGUGGGGAGCAAACAKGAUUAGAUACCCUGGUACUC